UUCAGCUUGCCUAACACUAUUCGACCAAACCUCCCUUUUCUCCUUCGUUCUCCGCCUCUGACAAAAGCCAUCCUCCUCUUCGUUCUCCGCCUCCGACCACAACCCUCUUCCUCGUCUCCGUUCUCCGGCUACAAUCACAACCCGACCCUCCUCGUCCUCAGCCUUUUCUGCCUCGGACCAGCUCCUCUGCUCGAAGACGGUGAAGAGAAUCAGCCUCUUCGUUCUCCCCCUCCGACAAAAACCAUCCUCCUCUUCGUUCUCCGCCUCCUCCAUAAUCCUCCUCCUCAGUUAUACUAGUUGGGUUUUGGUUUCUAGGCUUGGUUUUGGGUGAUUGCUCUCAGUCUGGAACUGGGUUUGUUUUAUUUUGAAUUGCAAGUGUGUGAUAUAGUUGCUUAUCUCUGUAGAUUUGAUGAAUGGGGUCUUGGGUUUUGUGGUGUUUACACGGAGAGUGGCUUUUGGGGCUGGUCUAUAUAUUCAUGGCAUAUUUUGGGUUUUAGAAGCAGAAUAUGUGUGAUUCUCUUGGGGUGAAUAGCACAAUAUGAUCUUUGGUUUCAGUAUUUUAUUAGAUUUUCUGCAAUAUAUUCUGGUCGAUUCAUCAUAUUUCAGUUCAAUUUUGUACUAACUUUUUUGUUUGUAGUUGAUGUUUGGUUGUUCAUAACUGCAAUAAACUUAAAAUUUUACGUUUUUAGUGUCUGUUGGAUUGAGAGAAGACGCAGGGGGAAAUGGUUUUAUCUUGGGUUUUCUUCUUUCUGAGGUGUAUUACAAAUCCUUGUAUCUUUGUGUUUUAGUAUGAAACUCCAAAUCAACCGUAUAGUACAACUGUACAACCCUUGAAAUAGUAAUACAUUGCUUGGUUAAAGAACAAAAAUUGGCAAGUGAAGAAAACAAGGCGAUUUUGAUGAGUUGCUUUCUUUUAAUUUUGUAUGGAUGUGGGUGCAGGUUGAUGAAGUUGUACGCGAUGCAUGACUUUAAUCGGAUAGAGUACUGCUCAUUCGAGUGUAGAUUUUGGUCCAGAAGGUUUUGUCCACACCUUAUUUGUCUGAUUUCAUUGCUGCAUUUUUAUGUUUUCAUUCUUUUCUAAUGUAGAUCAUUGUGGCCUGGUACUCAGCAGAUUGAAAUGUAGCUUUGAUCUGUUUAGCACCCGAUGUCCUAGUACUUGGCUCAUAUAAAAUUGCAACUGCAGGCAGUGGUGUUUUCAAGUUAAUUUGUUUUCCCGCUGCGGAUAACAAAAGUACGUAGCUAGAUCAUUUUAUGCUACACGAGUGGAAAAAUAUCAUUUCAGCAUAUACUUCACUCAUUAUGUUAUCAACAUGAAUUUUCUAUCACGAGUUCGCUUAGAGUACAUUGAUAUUGAGAUUUUUUUCACUGGUUUGUCAUUAUAUGAGGUUGAUGAUCUAGCAGCUGAGGCCGCAAUGAUUGAUCUAGCUGAUGUGCUAACAUAUCACGACGUUAAAAAUAACUGCCUAAAGGGAUUCCAACAGUCAUCUCAUAAAAUUCCUACCAUUAAUGAAGAGAUACUUGAUAUGCUCACAGUCAUGAUCAAGCACAUUUUUACCAAUGGGUAUCUCUAAAGUCUAUACUUUUGAUUCUCAGAAUUUCUCUUUGUAUGUCUCUGUCCUGAAAUUUUAGAAACAUCAUUAACUAGUUCAUGCUCUCAUCAUUGUAGUUGUUCUGUGUUACUCUAAGUUCCAAUUCAAAAACCUGACCGAUGCUGUGGAACAAAAACAGAUUACUUGUAAAAGCUCAAUGUACAAUAUAAGAUGGUUAGACUGUUUCACUGUUGCAAUCCCUGUUUAAUACCCCUUCAUUAAUCAUGCAAGUACCAAUGAAAAGAGGUCUUUAGCUUAAUUUGCAAGAUUCUAUAAUAUUUGUCUAUUGAAUUCCUGUUUUAAAUUAGCUUUAGAUCUAACUUUCGGACAUUUGGUACUCCACUGUAAUUCCAAUGUUUAUUGGCAGGGGGAUCUCCCUAAUAUAUCUGGUUCCUAAGCUUCUUACAGCAGGUUUUUGCUCCUUAUCAUGAGGUUGUCCGCGUCAGUGUCUAUGCUAUCAUGGCUGCCCUUCCUACGAUGGCCACUGCUGAGGAAACCUAAUAAAUGAACAUGGUUGAUAGACUAGAAGAGUUGGUUGAUUGUGACUACGAACAGAAUGCUGCAAAUAUUUCUGGUAGUAAUUCAGGAAACUUGUUUGAGCAAAGUGUAGAUUGACACUCGUGCUUCGGAUAAUGUUCGAGCAGAUUCUGGCCAUAAGCUAUAUCUGCUGCAACCAGUAGUAUUUUCAACUGAUAUUUUGCCCUUGGGGAUAACAAAAGACCCAAGAUUUGUUCUGCUAUAUAAAAUCGAAUUCGUCUCCAGAUGUAAUUACUCAUAAUGGUUAUUACCGAGGUAAUUAAGAAUUCAGUCCACAGCAUACUGUAAAUUAUAAUCUAAGAUCAAAAUGAUCCUUGAGAUCCGCCUUCUUUUGGCUAUCAGUUAAGACAUAGGAGAGGAAAAUCAGAAACUACUCGUGCUCAGUACAUAAACACAAAGGAUGUGAGGCUGACAAUAAGCACUUGGAAUGUUGCUGGAAGAGUUCCGGAUGAAAACCUUGAUAUUGAUGAUUGGAUUUCUUCAGAAGAGCCAUCGGGUAUCUACAUUUUCGGGUGAAAACAGAAGAACAAAUGGGAUAUAAGUAUGGCGAGGCUUGCUUUCGUUUAUGUUUCUAGUAUUAUGUACCAUUUAGACUUAAAUUUUUGUUUUAUUUCGACAUGUUAUGCAUAGAAAUACUUGGGAUGUUGUUAUGUACUUUGAGCAUCAAUAUUAAUCAAAAUUUAUUUACUUACGAUAUGUAUUCUCAUUA